CUCCCUGGCAGGCAGGACCUUACCAACAGGGAUGACAUUUCUUCAGCCUGGGAGCAAGCACGGUCCUUCCUUCCCCAUCAGGUGUGCGUGGCCGCCUGGCGGGAGGAGGCACAGAUUAACUGCAGGGAAAGACCUGGAGCUUGGUGGAGAGGAGUGCUGAGAACGUUCUUCUCCUAGGAACAAAGAAUCUGACCGGGGCUUUUAGUCCAUUUUAUAUCAGGCUUCUGCUUGUUCUUAGACUUGCAAAAGAGACCCAACGUGGUGCGAGUUUUGCACGGGAGAGUAGAGUUGGACGGUCAGCUGGGGUUUCCGUAGGUCAUACAGCAGCAUGCUCCUAUGUCCAGGGCUGAAAUUUGGUACUGCUUUUCUGUUCUGGAACCCACCAUCAAGGCCCAUCUGGGUUUAAAAGCGAAGCUAUAAGAAUCACUGCAGCUGAAGGACAAAUCCCCCGUGUCCCCUCUGCCAGGGGGUGCUCAUCAAAGGACAGCCAAGGAAGACAAAGUGCCGAGAUGCGUGCGCCCGUCCGGUGUGGUCGAGACUGCCAAUGCCAAGUGUGCAAAGGCCUAUUUAUUUUUUAUUUUAUUUUAUUUUUUAUUUUUGGGUAGCAGGAAUUGAACCCAGGUGUGCUUAACCCCUGAGCCACAUCCCCACUCCUUUUUAUUUUAUUUUUUUUUAUUUUGAGACAGGGUCUCGCGAAGUUGCUCAAGUCCUCUCUAAGUUGCUGAGGCCGGCCUGGAACUUGCCAUCCUCCUGCCUCAGCCUCCUGAACUGCUGGGAUCACAGGCAGGGGUCGCCCCACCAGGCUCCAAUGGCAUCUUGACCAGACUUUUCUCAAAGGCGCUGGGGUCUCGGGGUUGGCAAACCAGGCUCCGGGGACACCUCUCUGACCUGUUGCCGGUGUUUAAUGAAGCCUUCUUUGGAGCUCAGGCACCCCAGUUGAUGUACUUUCUGUGGCUGCUUGUCACCGCAUCAAGGAGUUGUGACAGACCAUGCCGCCUGCCCAGGCUGAACCAUUUAUGAUCUGGCCCCUUCUAGAAAAAGUUUGGAUGCCCGAUGCCCCUCACCCCGUUCACUGUGUAUCUAUCAAGAUCACCUCAGUGUCAGUCGAGGAUCGGGGUCAGCUCUCCCUCUGGCUGCUACCUGGAGAAGGUGUGGACGUGGCAGGAACCGCAGGCUUGGGGUCCGCCUUUACUCACUACGUCAAUGCUGUACGGUCGACGUGGGCGACUUCUGCUUCCACGUCAACAGAUGGACCCCUUUGGCCACCAGCUGGUGUUUGGGAGGAGCAAGUGAGAGAAUAUUUAUCCCAGAACCUAAGAGUCAUAUGAUUGUCUGAAACAAAAGUGCCGGUGGAGUUGCCUAUGAGAAAGCCAACCUUCCAGAAUCUUCCAUUGUACAAGAGUCACCGUCAAAGACCUCGGAGAGGUACAGUAGAGAGUCCUGCCCUAUUCCCCCUGCUUACCCUGACACGGGCAGCCACAGCCUUGCAGACUGAACUUGAAGGUGGUAUUGGCCCAUUCUGUGAUCUCCCAUGAAGCCGCAUUACUCCGAGUUAUCCCCAGGAUCCAGGACAUUGCUCUUUUAAAAAAUGUAAUUUGUUUCAGCACAUUAAAAAGCAUAUUCAUGUCAGGACUCAGGGUUGCUGCAGAUAGCACUUUUCAUCUGUUAGGAACUUGCGUACAUUAAUUUAUUUAGCUUUCUUAUAACAGGGAACUUUUUUCCUCAUUGGCUACAGGAUACAUUUCUUUUUCUAAUUCUAUUCAUUUAGUAGGUGUUCUACUGUAAAAUCGUCUCCCUGUUAGGGCUGUUUCACAGAGCGGGAAAUAAAUCUUUUAAUGCAGUAUAAAAUCCCACUGCGAUAGAUGGUCAUUUCCUCAGCACGUAAAUUUCUCUUUUCAUGAUUAAGCAAUAUUCUGGGGGGAAAAAAAAGUUAAAGCUUCUCGAAAGCUGUAGGAACCGUCGCUGUACGGCAGCUGCGACAGCCAUUCUUAGGGUGUGCCCUGUUUUUAAUGGGUUACCCAUGUUACUUUCUGG
ensembl:lincRNA